ACUGAAUAGAUACCCUGGUAGUCCACGCCCUAAACGAUGUCGACUGGUUGUUGGGGGUUUGACACUCUCAGUAAACGAAAGCUAAACGCGUGAAGUCGACCGCCUGGGGAGUACGGCCGCAAGGUUAAAACUCAAAGGAAUUGACGGGGACCCGCACAAGCGGUGGAUUAUGUGGAUUAAUUCGAUGCAACGCGAAAAACCUUACCUACCCUUGACAUGUCCGGAAGGCUGCUGAAAGGCGGCUGUGCCCGAAAGGGAACUGGAACACAGGUGCUGCAUGGCUGUCGUCAGCUCGUGUCGUGAGAUGUUGGGUUAAGUCCCGCAACGAGCGCAACCCUUGUCAUUAGUUGCUACCCGCAAGGGAGCACUCUAAUGAGACUGCCGGUGACAAACCGGAGGAAGGUGGGGAUGACGUCAAGUCCUCAUGGCCCUUAUGGGUAGGGCUUCACACGUAAUACAAUGGCGCGUACAGAGGGUUGCCAAGGAGCGAUCUGGAGCCAAUCCCGUAAAGCGCGUCGUAGUCCGGAUUGCAGUCUGCAACUCG
rnacentral:rRNA from 1 species